UACGUAGGGUGCAAGCGUUGUCCGGAAUUAUUGGGCGUAAAGAGCUCGUAGGUGGUUCGGUAAGUCGGAUGUGAAAUCUCCAGGCUCAACCUGGAGGGGUCAUUCGAUACUGCCGUGACUAGAGUUCGGUAGAGGAGUGUGGAAUUCCUGGUGGAGCGGUGAAAUGCGCAGAGAUCAGGAGGAACACCCGUAGCGAAGGCGGCACUCUGGGCCGAUACUGACACUGAGGAGCGAAAGCGUGGGGAGCGAACAGG
rnacentral:rRNA from 1 species